GACGAACGCUAGCGGCGUGCUUAACACAUGCAAGUCGAACGGAAAGGCCCUGCUUUUGUGGGGUGCUCGAGUGGCGAACGGGUGAGUAACACGUGAGUAACCUGCCCUUGACUUUGGGAUAACUUCAGGAAACUGGGGCUAAUACCGGAUAGGAGCUCCUGCUGCAUGGUGGGGGUUGGAAAGUUUCGGCGGUUGGGGAUGGACUCGCGGCUUAUCAGCUUGUUGGUGGGGUAGUGGCUUACCAAGGCUUUGACGGGUAGCCGGCCUGAGAAGGUGACCGGCCACAUUGGGACUGAGAUACGGCCCAGGCUCCUACGGGAGGCAGCAGUGGGGAAUAUUGCACAAUGGGCGGAAGCCUGAUGCAGCAACGCCGCGUGCGGGAUGACGGCCUUCGGGUUGUAAACCGCUUUCGCCUGUGACGAAGCGUGAGUGACGGUAAUGGGUAAAGAAGCACCGGCUAACUACGUG
rnacentral:rRNA from 1 species